ensembl:lincRNA
CGUUGAUAUAAAGAUGAAUGUAUUAUUCCUGUUGGGUUAAGAGUUUUUUUUUUCACCUCAAGGUUUAUUUUUUCUUAUGAUCUUAACAAUAAAUUAUUCUAUUUUGAAAGGUUCUAGAAGCCUCGAAAGCUCCUAUGGGCUCCAGGCACUGAGCCUAUGACUUUUGAUGGCCCUGUUAGAUGACACCACAGAGCAUGAGUGCUGAGCUGAUUCAGGUGUGGAGGAGUUCUGCUUUCCCCUGCUGUUCAUGGAAGGGAGGCUUUGCAAAGGGAGUCAGAGAACACUGGGGAGGAUGGCAGACUGAAAACACGAAGAGAGAGGAGCAUUUGCCGGCCCAAAGCAGCAUAUGAAAGAAUGGGCGGAUCAACGUAUGCUCCAUCCGUGGUGUGUUUCUGCUGCUUCUCCAAACGUGGAAUGACCAGUCUGAUUCUAGCCACUCUGUUGACUCUCUGCAGUGUGCCAUUUGGUUCUAACUUGGAUCUUUGUGGUAACAAAGGGGCUUGAGCUCUCAUGCUCACGUCUAAUGGCUAUUCGGAUAAUGCCUAAGUCAGCUUUCCAGUGUCGUGCUGCUCAGCAUUCUGUUAUUGUGACAGACACCUAAGGAAAACACAGAAAAGGAGGAAAGCUUUAUUUCACUCUGGGUUUCAGAGGUUUCAGUCCACAGUUGGCUGAGUUCACUGAAUUUUAAACUGGUGUUGAGGUGAAGUGUCCAAGGUGGAAGGGCAUGGAAAAGCAAAUCUACCGAUCCCAGCCAGGAAGGAAAGAAGGGGACGGCGCAGAGAGGGAGGGUUUGGGGAGAAGUUAUGUCCUUUAAAGCCUCGACCCUGGUGACCUGCUCUCUAACUGCCUCACCUCUGAACAGUCUUCCACCUCCUAACAGCCCAUUAAACUAUGAGUCAAAGAAUGGAUCGCUCCAUCGAUGAGGUCAGAGCCAUCCCCACCUAUCACUGCCCGCCCACUCCACAUCCGAACACUGCUGCAUUCUGAUUCCAGCUUCCACACAGGAGCUGACAGUGGCCACCGAAGGUCCAAAUCGUGACAUGGAGCCUCUUUUAGGCAGCGUUAUUUGUGUCUUUCUUUUCCUACUUACUUGUUCGUCUUUUUGUUACCGGUGUUUAGAAGCUUCUUAUAUGGUUGAGGCAAGUUACCGUGCCUUAUAUUUCCUUAUAUGCAAAAUGGGAAAGAGAGUGAUGUCUGUGUCAUAGGAUAUGAUUGCAACAAUUAUGUGGGAUAAUGCAAGCGAAACCUGAGACCUGUGUGUGGCACAUGGUGUUUUUUAGUCACUGUUCCAUCACUGGGACGAAAUACUCAGCACCCACAACUUAAAGGAAGAGAGAUUUAUUUUGGCUCACGGAUUCUGGAGGAUUCAGUCCGUGGUCUGCUCCUCCAAGGCAGAGUGAGCACGGAGGAAGGGCAGUGUUGAGAAGAGCUGCUCCGCCCACGACAGCGCGGAAGAAGAGAGGGACGGGAAGAGCUGGGGGGUAAGAGUCACUCUUCCAGGUAAAAGCCCUGGUGGCCCAUCUGGCCUCACCCAGCUUGGCCUCUCCUCUGAACAGCAUUCAGUGACAAGUACAGGCUGAUCCUAACCUGCUACGCAAUCACCUUUCAAACACGUGAGACUCUGGGGGGACAUUUGAUAUCUAAACCAUAGUACAGUACGAUCAGCGCUCAAUAUUAUUGUCAUUAGCCAGGAUCACGCUGCCAGCAUCUGUGGGCACCGAACCCUAGCCAGGCCUCCCGACUUCCGUUCACCGCAUUGAACCCUGCACGGAAGGACCUUCUCUCACUCAGACUCAUCACCUCACCCCUGCUCAUGCCCCCCGCGGGCUCCCGCACCAGCAUCAGAGGCACAUGCUGUUGUGCUGCUAUCAGGACCCAACAUUACUUUAAAACACUGCGAUCAGGUUCUUCUGGAUAGGAAAAAAAGGUGGUUUUUAGACUGAAAAAUCCUGGAAAACAUUCAUUCUCACAGACUCUGCAUAGUGCAUGUGGCACUUGGCAUGUGCAUUCCAAAAUUUUAAAGACAGGUAUUGCACCAGAAGAGAAAAAGAAACAAAACAAAACUGAUCCCUAAACCCAAAAUGCAUUAAAUAUUAAAGGCUAUUCAACGUGAGCAAUGAAGUGUUUCAGGCUAAAUGCCCAUUCUUGCCUCACUCAUCCCACUUUUCCUGAUACACCGGCCACACACAAGAAAAAAAUGACCAAAUUUUCUCUUCUAUCCUACUGGGAGUCGCUUUGCUCCUGGUGGUCAGACAAUAACAUUUUCUUAUAAAUAAACAAAUUUUAAUCAGCCUUAUUUUUCCCCUUCCACCUGUGGAAUUUUCCUCAGUUUAUAAACGAAUUCUGUUUUGGGGAAGAAAAAUCGUGAGUGUCGUAAGUUUGCUUUUGUCGCCAAAUUCAACAACAACCAUUCACUUAGUCCUCAGCGAGGAAGCCACUAAUAACUUCCUUCCAAAUCCUUUAGUUAAAUUUAGUUCCUCUCCCCCCCUCAGGAUUAAUUCAUUCUUCCUCCCAGAUUAAUGCAGCUCUUCAUAGUUGUAAUUUCUCAACUGUUAAAUUUCAGAAGCUGCAUCUACUGAAAAUGCCUUUUUAGCCUAAGGAGAAAUCGGACCCUUCAGUAUUUCCACUACGGGCUUUAAUUCCAUCUUUUGGUUGCAUUCAAAGCCCUAUAAUUGCUUAUCCUUAGAACAGCCCCUAACCCCACCAAACAGGGACAACAAAAGCACGACUGUCCACUUUAGGAUUUUUUUUUCUCUUUUUUUUUUGCACAUUAAAUAGUCCUAUCUACUCUGCCAUCUCCUAUGGCUUCAACGCGUCAAGUUCUUGGACUUUAGCUUCGCAGUUGCCCUCACUGAGCCACGUUCCUCUGAGAAGGUGAGAGAGGCAAAGAGCACCACCUCCCGUGUGUCCUCAGAGUAGCAUUGAGGAAGGGUGGUGCCUUCCCUCCCGCUAGGUCUGACUUCUGAUGUCUUCUGAUGCAGGCCAAACUGCCUUCGCUAUUCUUGACAGCCACCUCGUGGUGAGGCUGCGUCAUCCAGCCUGCCACAUCCCUUGAGCCUUAUUCACAGCCUUUGACACCCAGUGCUGCUGCCUUCACUUGUACGGUUGGUUCACGGGACCCAAAUGUUGACCCUUAGACUCUUCCUUGCUAGGUUGCUCACACCGUUUCAUCUGCUUUUCAGGUCCCAGCUACUUGACGAAACAAAGGUUUUUACUUCUGGGAAAGAGAUUCAGUAGGGAGGAAACAGAAAGGAGAAACUGGUUGGGGAUUUAGCUCAGUGGUUCUGCCACCUGCUUCGCAAGUACAAGGACCCAAGUUCGAUCCCUGGUACCAAAACAAACAAACAAACAGUAAAACAAAACAAAAAACAGAGAAACAAACCCCUCCUAGUGUGACUAGAAAUUUAUCUGAUCCAGCAGCCUGUUCCUAAAUUUUGCGAGGCAGCUUGUUGUUAAACCUGUGAAGUCUGUUUAACUUUUCAAGGAUAAAACUAUUACAUUGAUGUCAAUGAUCGCUUCUGCCUGUGUAGGGCAGAGAGACUCUAAGGAGGCCCCUGACCCCAGUCUCCUGCUAAUCACACCCUUAAAUCAUCCUUGAUUAUAAUACUCGAGUGUUGGCAUGUUCUAGAAUUUCAUUCUGAGCAAUAGAAUUUGGACAAGGUGCUAGAAUGUAUGUGAUUGCAGGCAAUAUUCAGGUUACAGGAGAUUUUAGCAUCAACUUGUUAGGAGCCUUUUCUCCUUACCUACGAAGCACCAAGGACCCACGUUGUGAGAUGAACUACAGAAGAGACCUCAUGGCAGGGGAACGAAAGGCAGCUUCUAACUGACUGGGAGCAGUGCGGUGUGGUCCUUACUCUGACAGCUUGGAAGACCUGCAGCAGGCGACGAGUAGCCACACGGAGGCUUCUGCAGUCAAAUGUUCAAGUCAAGUGUUCAACUCUUGUGACCUCUUAUUUGAAAAUUUCUGAUGAGACUUGGAAGUCGAGGAGCCAACAAAGGCAGAUGUAGCUUACGACCCUCACACAACGAUAGAAUAAACAUGUGGUGUUUCAGCUACUGCACGUGUUGUAAUAUAUUAUCCAUCUAUAUUCAACUAAGAUAUGAUGAAAUCAGGUGACAGAAACUAAAUCCAACUGUAAGCCAUAAUAUCCUGAGGCUCACUGUUGCUUUUGGAUUUGGUGGAUCGGGCUGGCUUACAGAACCUUCAGUGGUUCACCUGUCCCACACUACUCGGGUACUGAAGGCUCUUGGUUAUCAUUACAAUUACAGGUGUGUUUCUAGUAUUUCCUAGACCGACUUUACACUCAUCUUUAGUGGUCUCAGGUCUCAAUUAUUCCUGCCUUUUGGGUUGUUUGGUUCUGUACCUGGAUCUGGAUAUGUGCUGUGUCAUCUCCCGGCCUCCUACCUUUGAUUCACCAUUGUAGUAGGGCUCUCCAGUUAGAUCCCUCUGCUGCCACAGGAGGCAUUUCUGUCUUGUUUAUGUUGUGUCUUCCAAGUCUGAUUCUCCGCACUUUUCCUAAAAGACAAAUACAUCAUGUACAAGCCCCUUGGAAAGUGAAGAACUUCUAACCAAUAGUGUGAAUUUUAGCACAAUGAUAAACAUUUCUGGGAAAUCUUUGAUGUCAUAAGGCU